AAAAAUUUAGUUAAAAAAUAACAUUAGCUUGUCAAGCUAAAAUUAAUAAAUUAUUAAUUUUUA
rnacentral:tRNA from 1 species